rnacentral:rRNA from 1 species
UACAAUGGCCGGUACAACGGGGUGCGACACGGUGACGUGGGGCGGAUCCCUGAAAACCGGUCUCAGUUCGGGUCGCAGUCUGCAACUCGACUGCGUGAAGGUGGAGUCGCUAGUAAUCGCGGAUCAGCAUGCCGCGGUGAAUACGUUCCCGGGCCUUGUACACACCGCCCGUCACACCAUGGGAGCCGGUAAUACCCGAAGUCAGUAGUCCAACCUCGUGAGGACGCUGCCGAAGGUAGGAUUGGCGACUGGGGUGAAGUCGUAACAAGGUACC